rnacentral:lncRNA from 1 species
AAAAAUCUGAAACUAGAGCUCAAAAUUUGAAAAAAAAUGGUCAAAAAAUUAGGGGGGUCGGCCUAUUCUAGGACUUCUAGAGAAAAAUAAUGAGGGGUGUCACGGGGUAUGACUAUAUAGGUCUUGUAGAGGAGAAACAGGCGCUUUUUUUGCAUUAGGUAUCGAAGGGCGCUAUGUUCAAAAAUCUGAAACUAGAGCUCAAAAUUCGAAAAAAAUGUCAAAAAAAUUAGGGGGGUAGGGUCGGCCUAUUCCAGGAGUUCUAGAGAAAAAUAAUGAGGGGUGUCACGGGAUAUGACUAUAUAGGUCUUGUAGAGGAGAAACAGGCGCUUCUUUUGCGCUAGGUAUCGAAGGGCGCUAUGUUAAAAAAUCUGAAACUAGAGCUCAAAAUUUGAAAAAAAAGGUCAAAUAAUUAGGGGGUCGGCCUAUUCCAGGGCUUCUAGAGAAAAAUAAUGAGGGGUGUCACGGGGUAUGACUAUAUAGGUCUUGUAGAGGAGAAACAGGCGCUUCUUUUGCACUAGGUAUCGAAGGGCGCUAUGUUCAAAAAUCUGAAACUAGAGCUCAAAAUUCGAAAAAAAUGUCAAAAAAAUGGGGGUAGGGUCGGCCUAUUCCAGGAGUUCUAGAGAAAAAUAAUGAGGGGUGUCACGGGGUAUGACUAUAUAGGUCUUGUAGAGGAGAAACAGGCGCUUC